rnacentral:rRNA from 1 species
GCGAAUGCGACUGCGGAGGAGAUUAAUGAAACAACAACGCGAUCGAGGUUGUAGCUGGCCCCCUAACGAGGGCAUGUGCACGCCUCUUUCGCAAUCCAAACACACCUGUGCACCUUCGCGUGGGUCGGCGGCGACGUCGGCUCGCGAUUCUCUCCACACACCCCUUUUGUAUGUUAACAAGAAUGUCAUCUACGAUGUUAUUAAAAACGCAUCUAAUACAACUUUCAACAACGGAUCUCUUGGCUCUCGCAUCGAUGAAGAACGCAGCGAAAUGCGAUAAGUAAUGUGAAUUGCAGAAUUCAGUGAAUCAUCGAAUCUUUGAACGCACCUUGCGCCCUUUGGUAUUCCGAAGGGCACACCUGUUUGAGUGUCGUGAAAUUCUCAACCCUCCUCACUUUGUUGUGUUGGAAGGGAUUGGACUUGGAGGUCUUUGCCGGCUUCGGCUCCUCUCAAAUGCAUUAGUGCGUCCCGUUGCGGAAACGUGCCUUCGGUGUGAUAAUUAUCUACGCCGUGUCAGCGCACUCUGCUUCUCGUGGGAAGGCGCUUCGAACUGUCCGAGAAGGACGAAUUCAUCGAACCUUGACCUCAAAUCAGGUGGGACUACCCGCUGAACUUAAGCAUAUCUA